GUCCCCGUAGCUCAGCCCGGAUAGAGCACCGGCCUCCGGAGCCGGGAGCACAGGUUCAAAUCCUGUCGGGGACACCA
rnacentral:tRNA from 1 species